rnacentral:rRNA from 1 species
UACGUAGGGUGCGAGCGUUAAUCGGAAUUACUGGGCGUAAAGUGUGCGCAGGCGGCUGGGCAAGUCGGGUGUGAAAACUCCAGGCUCAACUUGGAGACGCCACUUGAUACUGCCCUGGCUUGAGUCCGGUAGGGGAGCGCGGAAUUCCUGGUGUAGCGGUGAAAUGCGCAGAGAUCAGGAGGAACACCGGUGGCGAAGGCGGCGCUCUGGGCCGGUACUGACGCUGAGGAGCGAAAGCGUGGGGAGCGAACAGG